CAAUCCGCUCUUUUCAGAGCGACCCAUAUUUUUGAACAUUUGGAA
rfam:Camponotus floridanus CamFlo_1.0_4.contig3012, whole genome shotgun sequence.